rnacentral:rRNA from 1 species
UCAGGACGAACGCUGGCGGCGUGCCUAAUACAUGCAAGUCGAACGGUCUUUCUACGGAAGCUUGCUUCCACUGAGAAGAUAGUGGCGAACGGGUGAGUAACACGUGGGUAACCUGCCCAUAAGAGGGGGAUAACAUCCGGAAACGGGUGCUGAUACCGCAUAGUUUUCUUGAUCGCAUGAUCGGGAAAGGAAAGACGGCCUUUGUGCUGUCGCUUAUGGAUGGACCCGCGGCGUAUUAGUUAGUUGGUGAGGUAACGGCUCACCAAGACGAUGAUACGUAGCCGACCUGAGAGGGUGAUCGGCCACAUUGGGACUGAGACACGGCCCAAACUCCUACGGGAGGCAGCAGUAGGGAAUCUUCCGCAAUGGACGAAAGUCUGACGGAGCAACGCCGCGUGAGUGAAGAAAGGUUUUCGGAUCGUAAAACUCUGUUGUCAGAGAAGAACAAGUUGGAGAGUAACUGCUCCAGCCUUGACGGUAUCUGACCAGAAAGCCACGGCUAACUACGUGCCAGCAGCCGC